GUGCUAGCUUCAACAGCACAUAUACUAAAAUUGGAAUGAUACAGAGAUUAGCAUGGCCCCUGGGCAAAGAUGAAAUGCUAAUUCGUGAAGUGUUCCAUAUUUUU